CAGCCGUCGUUGAUUUCGACACCUCCUCGCCAAGUGCCAUCGUCCCUGUCGUGUAAACCCUAGACAGUUCAUAUCUGGGGGAGUUCUGAGGAUUGGAAGUAUGCAUGUAGACAUAUAUUGAAAUAUCACUCUGCAGAGGUGCGAGCUGUCACUGUCCAUGCAACGAAUAAAUACUUUGUGUCUGCAUCGCUUGACAGUUCGUGGUGCUUCUAUGAUAUGUCCUCCGGUUUAUGCUUUGCCCAGGUUCGCAAGAAGAUGGGUUUGUUCUUGUUGAUGUUUCAUCUUCAAGGUAUCAUGG